GACGAACGCUGGCGGCGUGCUUAACACAUGCAAGUCGAACGGUAAGGCCCUUCGGGGUACACGAGUGGCGAACGGGUGAGUAACACGUGGGUAAUCUGCCCUGCACAUCGGGAUAAGCCUGGGAAACUGGGUCUAAUACCGAAUAGGACCACAGGACACAUGUCCUGUGGUGGAAAGCUUUUGCGGUGUGGGAUGGGCCCGCGGCCUAUCAGCUUGUUGGUGGGGUGAUGGCCUACCAAGGCGACGACGGGUAGCCGGCCUGAGAGGGUGUCCGGCCACACUGGGACUGAGAUACGGCCCAGACUGCUACGGGAGGCAGCAGUGGGGAAUAUUGCACAAUGGGCGAAAGCCUGAUGCAGCGACGCCGCGUGGGGGAUGACGGCCUUCGGGUUGUAAACCUCUUUCACCAUCGACGAAGGUCCGGGUUUUCUCGGGCUGACGGUAGGUGGAGAAGAAGCACCGGCCAACUACGUG
rnacentral:rRNA from 1 species